rnacentral:rRNA from 1 species
AUUGAACGCUGGCGGCCGGCCUAACACAUGCAAGUCGAACGAGUGGCGGACGGGUGAGUAAUGUCUGGGAAACUGCCUGAUGGAGGGGGAUAACUACUGGAAACGGUAGCUAAUACCGCAUACCAUCAGAUGUGCCCAGAUGGGAUGCGCCAGUUGGUGGGGUAACGGCUAACCAAGGAGACGAUCCCUAGCUGGUCUGCGAGGAUGACCAGCCACACUGGAACCGAGACACGGUCCAGACUCCGACGGUAGGCAGCAGUGGGGAAUAUUGCGCAAUGGGCGCAAGCCUGAUGCAGCGAUGCCGCGUGUAUGAAGAAGGCCUUAGGGUUGUAAAGUACUUUCAGCGGGGAGGCGUUACCCGCAGAAGAAGCACCGGCUAACUCCGUGCCAGCAGCCGCGGUAAUAC